rnacentral:rRNA from 1 species
UACGAAGGGGACUAGCGUUGUUCGGAAUCACUGGGCGUAAAGCGCACGUAGGCGGAUUUGUAAGUCAGGGGUGAAAUCCCGGGGCUCAACCUCGGAACUGCCUUUGAUACUGCGAAUCUUGAGUCCGAUAGAGGUGGGUGGAAUUCCUAGUGUAGAGGUGAAAUUCGUAGAUAUUAGGAAGAACACCGGUGGCGAAGGCGGCCUUCUGGACAGUGACUGACGCUGAGACGGCGAAAGCGU